rnacentral:tRNA from 1 species
GCGGCUAUGGCGGAAUGGCAGACGCACUAUCUUGAGGGGGUAGUGGGAGUAAUCCCGUGGAAGUUCGAGUCUUCUUAGCCGCA